rnacentral:rRNA from 1 species
CCCGCUGAACUUAAGCAUAUUAUUAAGCGGAGGAAAAGAAACUAACAAGGAUGCCCUCAGUAACGGCGAGUGAAGCGGGCAAAGCUCAACCUGAAAAUCGGAUUCCCUAGCGGGAUUUCGAAUUGUGGGCUACAGACGCGUGAUCAGUGUGUGACCCAGGUAUAAAUCUCUUUGAAACGAGGUAUCAUAGAGGGUGAGAAUCCCGUCUGUGACUUGGAGUUCGCCGCGUACGAUCCGUGUUCGCAGAGUCGCGUUGUUUGGGAUUGCAGCGCUAAAUGGGUGGUAAAUUUCAUCUAAAGCUAAAUAUCGACGAGAGACCGAUAGCGAACAAGUACCGUGAGGGAAAGAUGAAAAGAACUUUGAAAAGAGAGUUAAAAAGUACUUGAAAUUGCUAAGAGGGAAGCACUGGAAACCAGUCGUGACCCGCGUGUAUAUUUAGCAUGCGCGUCUGGAUCCGCGUGGUGUCGAGAGCCCAAAGCCUCGUAGCCAUUCGGUGAAUUGCGUGCUAGCGACCUGUACUGUGGGUUGAGUCAGAAUCAAUUCGAUCCGUGAGAGAAAGCUAUCAAAACGGUAGGCGCGCGGGGGCAACUCCAAGUGCUGUUUAGUUUGGUAGUGCUAUCAUGGGUCGGAUUGAGGCAUCAAAAACGCGCCCCGCAUGGGAUUCGCCCCCCGACCCUGGAGGCUCAGAAGGUUUGGACAACAAAGUUGUGCUAUCUUCGAAGGUUUCUACUGGAAAGGAUGAGUGAGAAGCAGCGUUCGAGAUUCUGACGAAAUGGUUUUCAUUGACCCGUCUUGAAACACGG